rnacentral:rRNA from 1 species
CAGUAGUCACGAGUUUGAUCAUGGCUCAAGAACGAACGCUGGCGGCAUGCCUAACACAUGCAAGUCGAACGAGACCUUCGGGUCUAGUGGCGCACGGGUGCGUAACGCGUGGGAAUCUGCCCUUAGGUUCGGAAUAACUUCGGGAAACUGAAGCUAAUACCGGAUGAUGACGUAAGUCCAAAGAUUUAUCGCCUAAGGAUGAGCCCGCGUUGGAUUAGCUAGUUGGUGAGGUAAAGGCUCACCAAGGCGACGAUCCAUAGCUGGUCCGAGAGGAUGAUCAGCCACACUGGGACUGAGACACGGCCCAGACUCCUACGGGAGGCAGCAGUGGGGAAUAUUGGACAAUGGGCGAAAGCCUGAUCCAGCAAUGCCGCGUGAGUGAUGAAGGCCUUAGGGUUGUAAAGCUCUUUUACCCGAGAUGAUAAUGACAGUAUCGGGAGAAUAAGCUCCGGCUAACUCCGUG